rfam:Alphaproteobacteria bacterium RIFCSPHIGHO2_12_FTLL_66_14 rifcsphigho2_12_scaffold_2721, whole genome shotgun sequence.
CGCCUUCAAAAAGCCGGGCGAAGCGCCUAUAUAGGUCGUGUCGGGAAACCGACUAUGGCGAUAAACGCCGCGUGACAUAAGCGUUUCGGACCCGGGGGCGGUACCCGGCGCCUCCACCAUUCACAUCCAGACCCCGAUCUCAAUGAGUGACGGGCGCGGAAUCGAUGGGGGCGAAACAGGAUCGACGAGCGUGGUAAAGGCGCGGUUUUUGCCCGGUAUGGUUCCGCCGCAACGGACCACACACAAGUGCUAACGAUAACACCGUUACACUCGCUGCUGCCGCCUAAACAGCGGACGUAAGCGCGGUCCGGGGGGCACCGGGCAACAGAAGCCCCCCACU